AAAAAUCGAUAUAUUUUUUUAUUUUUAUUAUCUUAUUUUUUUAUUUUAAUACGGUUAUACUCGUUAUUUUGACUACAAAAAAUGAAUUUGAGUUUGAUCGAACCAAUAACUUACGCGUAGUGAAUUUUUGAUGUAAUGGUUUUAUUUUCAAUUUUCUACUUGUAACUCUUGUAUGUUUAUUAUUUAUUUGAUUAAAACAAUGAGAAAAAGUUAUUUCAGCAUGAAAAAAUAAGUUUUUUAUUUUUUGUUAAAUAAGUGCAUACGGUAGAAAAGUUCGCGUUAUGUCAAAAUAUCAUUAAUAAUUGGUACUUAAAUCAUCUGCAAGGAUAUUACGGUAUACCUUUAAUUUUUGAAAAAAAAAAUCCGUUUUACUCGUACGCUCCAUACAUUUGCUUAGAACAAAAAUUCACUACGCGUAAGUUAUUGGUUCGAUCAAACUCAAAUUCAUUUUUUGUAGUCAAAAUAACGAGUAUAACCGUAUAAAAAUAAAAAAAUAAAAAUAAAAAAUAUAUA